rnacentral:rRNA from 1 species
GACGAACGCUGGCGGCGUGCUUAACACAUGCAAGUCGAACGGAAAGGCCCUGCUUUUGUGGGGUGCUCGAGUGGCGAACGGGUGAGUAACACGUGAGUAACCUGCCCUUGACUUUGGGAUAACUUCAGGAAACUGGGGCUAAUACCGGAUAGGAGCUCCUGCUGCAUGGUGGGGGUUGGAAAGUUUCGGCGGUUGGGGAUGGACUCGCGGCUUAUCAGCUUGUUGGUGGGGUAGUGGCUUACCAAGGCUUUGACGGGUAGCCGGCCUGAGAAGGUGACCGGCCACAUUGGGACUGAGAUACGGACCAGACUCCUACGGGAGGCAGCAGUGGGGAAUAUUGCACAAUGGGCGGAAGCCUGAUGCAGCAACGCCGCGUGCGGGAUGACGGCCUUCGGGUUGUAAACCGCUUUCGCCUGUGACGAAGCGUGAGUGACGGUAAUGGGUAAAGAAGCACCGGCUAACUACGUG